UGGUAAUAAUUUUAGAAGAGGAAAACAUUUUGUCAGAAAGUAGCAGUCCAUUUCCACCUGUGUGGCAUGAUGCUGUGUACAAAGCACUACAUAGGUAUAGUGCGAGCUUUCCCAUACCUCUCUGCUCAUGUAUGCAUAACCAGAACCAGGAGGACCAUCUGUAAAGGAUGAGAAGGACUGAAGAGAUUUCUGGUGCAUGAAGUGCAAAUUGGUGUAAUGAAGGAGAAGAUACAUGGCCUGGAUGUGCAAAUUUCUAUGCUACAUAAUAUCCAAGGAACUGAAGACUUCUUGGAUAACUUCUUGCAAUCAUUGCCACGCUCACCACAGGGAAGGAUCAGUAAGGGAACUGGAGAGAGUAGAAACUGCAGAAGGUGACUGACAAUUUCUGACCCAAAGAGAGAAAUUAGGAGGCAAUCAACAUGGUUAAAAGUAACAAAUCCAUUAUCUGAUACUCAGUGAGUCAACUAUCAGGGAACCCAUUACUGAAGAAAUGGAAGAGAAAGCACCAUUGGACAUACCUCAUCCUUGCAGUAUGAAACAAGGAGCUACCAAGAUAGGUUCCUGAACCAUCCUAGGAAAAAAACUGGCAACUCAGUAUUAAGAAGAGUUGAUAGAGAAUUCAGAAAAGGACACACAGACCAUGGGACAGUGUCUCUCAAUAGAAAAGAGAUGAGAUGUAACUGCAGGAUCAUGAAAUCAUAUGGCAGGUCUUCGCUGGUGAUGAUAUACAUUGGAACCAGGGACUAGGCAUCAUGUGGAAUUACACUGAUUAUAGAAAACUUCAGGGAUCUUGGAAGGGAGCUGAAGAAGAUGAUAGUCCAAGUGAUCUUCUUGGCGACCCUACCGUCUAAUGAGUGAGAGAAGGCAAAAUGCAGAAAAUAUAGGUUAACUGUUGGUUAUGCACCUGGGAGUAAGGGUGAAGGCUCUGGUUUUGUGAAUUGGUGGGCCACAUUUCAGUCAGGCGGGGGAGGAGAGGAGAGGACUGUAGAAACAGGAUGUCCUGCAUCUCAGAGGUAAGAAGGCUAAAUUUUCAUUAGGAGAUUAGCUGGGGUAGUCAGGAUGUUAAAUUAGCAAAAGGAAGGAUGCUAAGAAGGCAAAUAUGAGUCAGUGUUGGUGUGUCAUGAACAAAUUGAACUGACAUGGCAAAGAAAGUGAAGAGAAGAAAUUUUUCAGUUGCUUAUACCAAUACUAGGAGUGUGGGUAAUAGGCAAGAGGAUUUGGAAAUUCUCACUGAUAAGAAAUUUGAUAUAAUUGGCAUUACUGAAACCUGGUGGGAUGAUUCACAUGAUUGGAAUGUUAAUGUUACAGGUUAUAUAACCUGUUCAGGAGGCACACUGAGAUGGUAAAAGAAGUGGGGGGCAUUCUACAUUAAAGAUGCCAUUAUUUGUUUUUGAUUUAUUGAUUACUGAGAACUGCAGGAUCUCAACUGCAUGUGGAUCAAUGUGUUAACUAACAAAGCUAAGGAGAGAGCUGUGGUGGGGUCUGUUAGGAUGUGUCUACACAGCAAACAGCAGCCCACAAAGUGAUUCUCGGAGCCCAGGUCAAUAGACUUGAGCUUGGAAGGCUCAUGCUAUGGUGCUAAAACUAGCUGUGUAUACAUUUAGUGUCUGAAGCUUAGGGAGCAGGUGGGCUUCAAAGCCUGAGCUCCAGCCUGAGCCCUGCCAUCUACACAGCUGUUUUUAGUGCCGUAAUGUGAGCCUGAGUCUGUGGACCUAGGAUUUGAGAUUCACUGCUGCUCACAGUGUAGACUCACCUUCACAGACCACCAAAUAAAACUACACAACAGGGUGAACUACUCCUUAAGCACCUCUCUGUAAUGAAUGUGUGUGGGGGGAAUUGCAGUGUUGGGAAAACUUCAGUGUUGGAGACGUAUGGUGGGGAUCUCAUGGAGCCAGUAGUAAAACAUCAUUAGAGUUGCUAAAAAUCUUAUAUGAUGAUGAUCUUCUAAAACAAAAUGUCUUAAUACAACCAAAUGCAAAAUUAUACAUCUAAGAACAAGGAAUGUAGGCCAUACCUACAGAAUGGGGGACUGUAAUGUAAAGGCCUGAGAUAUAUGGGAAGGUUAGACCAGAUGGUCUAAGAGGCCCCUUUGGCCCUAAACUCUAUUAAUCUGAGCAUGGGACCCAGUUCUCCUCUCCUACCGGUUUUAGAUCAGUGUAACUCCAUUGGCUUCUGUAGAAUUACUCCUGAUUUACACCAGUGUAAGUGAAAAGAGAA